CCUUUUUCUCCGUCUACGUUCUUCUUCAGUUCAUCUCUCUUUUCUUCGGUUCACACCAAAAAAUCGGCAAAACGUUACAGAAUCAUGCUGAAUCCAAACGUCGUAUUUAAUGCAAUCAUCAAUGAAUGCAUGCCCUCUUUACUCCCUUUCUUUCAAUCUUCAACUAUAAAAAGACUGGAGCAGGAUUCUGGUUCUUUUCUGAUAGUAGUAUGUCGCAAGAAAAGUAUUGUUGUGGGUGGGACGAAGUUAUGAUCUAUCUCUCAGGGUUGAUAAGGUCGAUGAUAAUGGAAAUUUUCUUUGAGAUUAGGAAGCCAAGAAAUGACAAAGCAAAAGUUAUUGAAAUAUUAGCCAAAGAUCUGAAAGUUUUGGCAACGUGUAAAGAAAAACUUUACAAAGAGAUGAGAUCAAUCAAUUUCUGACUCGACAGAAAUUUAAGUAAAUUUUGCUUUUGCCUUAAUAUAAUUGAAAUUUCUAAAAUGCAAACAAACACUCAAGUGUUAAUGUGUGUGUCUGUGUUGGAUAUCUCCACAGGGAAAAGGGCAAUAGUCAAAAUCCGGUGAUACAAAAUCAGCCAGGUACGUGGAUGAUCGAUUCGAAGGUUGGAUAAAAUAAGUAGCACUUCCUUAUAAUUUUUCCGGCAUCAGGAUCCUUGCUAAGAAGGAACCAGUUCAUGAGAUUGUUCCAAUGGCAGAUUUGGGAUGCUCUUUAGCUGUGAGAAGCUUUAUAUUUUUGUAAACGAGCGUUUGGAAUGGUCUCUCAAGUGGUUUCUGGAACUACGCAGUAUCAGAGAUUACUAUGAGUUUAGUCAAGGUGUGUUAGUCCCUAAAGAUGUUUUGGUUGAACCAUCCUGUAACAACAAUGGAGAAAGAGAGCAACAACGAUUCUUUUGACAAGGAAAAUAAGUACAUUUCGAUUUUGGUUCUUUUUUAUUACUUAGUUUGGUGUGCUUCUGGUUUGUGUACACAUAGUAGUGCAACAUCAGCUUCUCAUGCAGUGAGUUCAUUUGAGAACAUCAAAAGAUUCACCAAGUAAAAACAUAAUUUAAUUG